rnacentral:rRNA from 1 species
AUUGAACGCUGGCGGCAGGCCUAACACAUGCAAGUCGAACGAGUGGCGGACGGGUGAGUAAUGUCUGUGAAACUCCCUGAUGGAGGGGGAUAACUACUGGAAACGGUAGCUAAUACCGCAUACCAUCAGAUGUGCCCAGCUGGGAUUAGCUUUUUGGUGGGGUGACGGCUCACCAAGGCGACGAUCCCUAGCUGGUCUGAGAGGAUGACAAGAUUCAAUGGAACGGUGACACGGACAAGACUCCUACGGGAGGCAGCGGGGGGGAAUAUGGAUGAAUGGGCGCAAGCCUGAUGCAGCAAUGCAGCGUGUAGGAAGAAGGCCUUCAGGUUGUAAAGUACUUUCAUCGGGGAGGCGGUACCCGCAGAAGAAGCACCGGCUAACUCCGUGCCAGCCGCCGCGGUAAUAC